UACUGUACGGUUUUUGAGAAAAUUGAUAGUAAACUUUGCACAAUUUACUCUACUGUACUUUUAAUAUUCUCAUCUUUGACCUCAGAUUACAGGAAAACUAUAAGAGGUGACACAGAUAUUUCACUGGAUUAUGACUCUGAGUGACCCCCACUCUGUCAUCCCUGUGAUCCACAGCCAAAAUUACUGUACGGUUUUUGAGAAAAUUCAUAGUAAAAUCUUCCCAUUUUGCUUUACUGUACUCCACAUAUUAACAUCUUUGAGCUCAGAUUACAGGAAAACUGUAAGAGGUGACGCAGAUAUUUCACUGGAUUAUGACUCUGGGUGACCCCCACUCUGCACCCUGUGAUCCACAGCCAAAAUUACUGUACGGUUUUUGAGAAAAUUGAUAGUAAACUUUGCACAAUUUACUGUACUAUACUUUUAAUGUCCUCGUCUUUGACCUCAGAUUACAGGAAUAUGAGAGUAUGAAACAAAAAUUGGGCAGAAACUUUCCUCUCGUUUCAAAUUCUAAUAAAAGCGACCAGGUAAUGUUUAAGAGGUACGACAAACUGACGCUGGCGAAGACUAACAUGUCCGUGUCACUGCUUCUUUCCACUUUUUUCAGCCACUAGUAGAUGUUAACAGAAAAUGCCACCGAUUGUUAAAUAACAAUCAAGAUUAGUAGACGUGUCGGAUGAUUUUCUUUUAAUAAGCCAUAGUCCCUGUUGUCAAACCAAUAAUCUUCUUUUAAAAAAUAAGAACCUUUUUUGUCAUUAAGUGUUUAAUUCAGUGUUUUAAGGAAAUUAAAAAGUAUUGCUGUGUGAUAUAUAUUUUAUAUAGUUUACCUUACGAACACUGUUUUUGUACCAACAGAACGGCUUGUGCUCAGAGGAUGAGGGCAGGCUUUACAUGGUGUGAGAUUGGGGGGGGAAAAAAGCUUAAAUGAGUGAGAAGGACGAUGAAGGAAACAUCUGUGCUGUGUCUGCUCUACGGUGGCGGAUCUGCAGGAAGAACUGAGGACGUCCGUCAUGGACGAAUCAUCAUCAUCAGAGAGAAGAGAGAGAGUCCGAGCUGAGAGAAAGGUGCUCCGAGGAAGAGGGCGGGCUUUACUUGGUGUCAGUGAGAGAAAUGAAAAAAAGCUCAAAUGAGUGAGAAGGACGAUGAAGGAAACAUCUGUGCUGUGUCUGCUCUGUGGUCCAAUGUUUCUGGAUUACCCACAGCCCCCUCUGUCUGCAUAAAAGCAGUGCUGGAACACUGGUGUACCAUGGCCUCGUGAGCAUCAGGGGAACAGUGUUGUCCUUGUUGCUACAGAAAAUGGAUCUGUGUACGCCAUCGAGUAGGCGAAAGAAUGGUUACACAGCAUUCUGCAGCGCCAUGCGGUACCCUCUGGUAAGCUUGAAAAUAUGGAGUGGCCAGCACGGUCUCCAGACUUAAACCCCAUCAAGCUGUUUUGGGAUGAACUGGACCGAAGAGUGAAAGCAAAGCAACCUACAAGUGUCAAACAUUGUAGAAAGACCGCCAUGGCUGUGUUCAGCUGUUAUAUCUGCCAAAGGUGGCUACUUUGAGAAGUUGAGAAUACAUUUGUCUUUAAAUUGAUUCUGAUUUCUUUUUUUAACUCCAAUUGCUUAUUUGUACUGUGCUUUCAUUUCAGAGUACAAUGAGACAUUAAACUGGAUAAUUUCCAAUAAGCUCUGAUGAAGCUGGAUUGACUAAAGUUAUUGUGUCGUGUUUCCAUGUGUUCAGUAAUUUUACUGUUAUUUGUAUUUUGUUUCUAAGUGCUGUCGUCUCCACAGCAGUGAUCUGGUUUCUCUGCAGUUUCAAUAAACUUUGGUCUCACUUGAUCUUCUGUUUGUUUCACAAAGAUGUCUGAUGGACAACCUGAGUUGUUGUGAUGAACCAAAACACUUCAGUUUUCUUCAAAGCAGAUAAAGUUCCUGUGAGCCACAGACAGCAGGAACGAUUUCACACAUGAAUCUUAGUUUCUGUGAAGUUUGUCUGUUGACAGCAGAACUGAUUUGAUUGCAACUCAUUUAAUGGACAAAAUAAAUUUCAGGUACAGCUGCACUCAGCUUUUUCUGUAUCUACACGAUGGAUCAUUGUUCAUUAUAAAAUAUGAUGUGAAAAUUUAACCCCGUUUUAUAAAAUGUUUAACAAGUUUGCUUGAAGGGGAAAAAACCACAGGAUACAACUUUGCAAAGAGACUUAGAAUAGAUUAUAACAAGUCAAACUCUUAUUUUAAUAGAUGCAUAUCAACAUUUGGUGAUAUGAGGGAAACUCCAUUAAUAAACGGUCUUCAUGUACAGUGUGUGGGAGUUUCUGCAUACUGAUGAAACUGUCUUUAAAAGAAAACGGACAAUAAAUGCAUCACAGACACAUCUGAUUGUGUUAAAGCUCCCUGUGGUGGAGGGCUAAUAAACCACCACAAAAUGUGGUGUUAUAUCUGCCGAAGGUGGCUUUGGUCUCACUUGAUCUUCUCCUGUGGUUCUGUGGGUUUCACUAAGAUGUCUGAUGGAAAACAUGAGUUGUGGUGAACCCAGACACACUUCAGUUUUCUUCAAAGCAGAUAAAGUUGAUGUGAGCCAAGACUUAAAGCAGCGGGAACACUUUCACACAUGAAUCUUAUGCUACGUUCACACUGCAGGCGAUGCGGUGUGAAUUUGGAUUUAGGCAGUGUUGUCUUUAACUUCACUGAACGUACGACCCCAAAAAAUGAAGGUCUGAUAGGUGAGCAUGUUGGGAUUUUGUAAAAAGCUGAAAUGUUAUUAUCACAUGUGUUGUAAUGUGUGUGUGUGCAUGGUAUAUGUAGAAUCUGGUCCAGUGAUUGUAGAUUGAGGAUUUAUAUAAAUGAGUGAACUCUAAACCUUAAAUAAAUGUGUCUGUUCCUCCAAACUCUGAUUGGGGCUGCCACCCAUGGUACGUCAGCAAAUUUCAGAUAACAAUAGUGGUACAUCUACAGAAAAUAAAUAAAUACUCAUUUCAGACAAACAUAAAAUUUUGCUGUUUUUAUUUACACAUUUCUAAAACAUUAUGGGCAAUUUAUACAUGUUAUUUAAUUAAAUUACACACACAAUACAAAAUAUAUAAGGAAAGAUGUUGUCUUUAACUUUAGUUCAUUAUAUUCCAGUAGGCAGUAUUUUUUUUUUUUGGCAACUUAUCAGCUCAGUGUUAAUUAGAAAGACUAAUUCUUGCUUGACCAGACUAAUUUCUUGGGACUUUCCAACAGAUGCUUGAGAAUAGGGCUGGGCAAGCAGCAGGCGCACCUCGCAAACAGAGGGCGCCCUUACUCCCAGCAAAUGAGCGAUAGAAAACCGACCUGUGCCUGUGCCGUCCCCAGUAUGCGCUGGCAUGACGUCGCGCAGCAUGAGUAGGAGCAAUUGUCUAAAAAUGUUUCUGGUGUUUUCUCACCUGAGACCACGUGAUUUAUGUUAAAUUUUCCUGUGAGUUCAGGUCACUGAGGUGUGUUAAAUGUCAAAAAUAUCACUUCUUUGUUUUUGCUUCAGCUCUUCAGCAGGAUGUUCAGGUGAAGUUUGGAGAUGACGUCACUCUCCAGUGUCAGAUUUCCACAGAUGAAAUAAUCUCAGUGCUGAAGUGGAGCAGAGCUGACCUGAACACAGACGGCUACGUCUACUUCUACACUGUAGAAGUAGACGUAGCCGUCUUUGAUUGGGUGUGGUGCUUGGCCUUAAUUGCACUCACCUGUCACUCGUUAUAUAAGGACGGCACUCACCUACCCCUCACUUUUUCUUCACUCCCACAUGGGGCGGUAGCUGAGGUGAGUUUCGCUUUGAGUCUCCUGAGUUCAUGUAUCAUUUUGAGUUACUUAAAUCAUACUUUAUGUCCUUUUUAGAGAGAGCAGUCCAUGUGUGUCUUUCUUUCCUUUACCUGUUAUACAAUAAAACGACAAAACCUGCAAAUGAUUGAUGACCACUUAUUUUCAUUCUAAUCGGAUGAGCCCAUGAUGACGACUACUGAAACCCUGAACCUUCCUUCCUCCAAAACACGUAGUUUGUGCUGGAGAGAAUAAUUUGUUUGAUUUUAUUCUGCUGGCAGUACUUUUUACAGCUCACGGAGCUCAGAACAGCUACAUCUGUAGGCUGUUUGUCUCUGAGAGCACCCAGCAGCAAAAAAAGAAGCUAACAAAGUUCAGCUUUAUUAUUGCACUGUCUUAAAAAAAGGAUUUCAGGGUUAGUGCCCUGUCAGCAACACAUUACUGGACUCUGGUGGUCUGUGUUUAACAAGAAACAGGUUGAAAGUCACGUGUAUAGAAAUUUGCUGAAAGGACAAAAAAUAAAGAGCUGAGUGACACUAAUAUACUCUUAUUUAUUUCAGUGUUUCACAGUUUUUGUAAGUGCACUAUCUGCUGAGAUUGACUUUGUAUUGACAUUAAACUCUUUCACAAAA
ensembl:lncRNA